rnacentral:rRNA from 1 species
UACGAAGGGGGCUAGCGUUGCUCGGAAUUACUGGGCGUAAAGCGCACGUAGGCGGCUUUCUAAGUCGGAGGUGAAAUCCUGGAGCUCAACUCCAGAACUGCCUUCGAUACUGGGGAGCUUGAGUCCGGGAGAGGUGAGUGGAACUGCGAGUGUAGAGGUGAAAUUCGUAGAUAUUCGCAAGAACACCAGUGGCGAAGGCGGCUCACUGGCCCGGUACUGACGCUGAGGUGCGAAAGCGUGGGGAGCAAACAGG